rnacentral:rRNA from 1 species
GACGAACGCUGGCGGCGUGCUUAACACAUGCAAGUCGAACGAAGUGGCGAACGGGUGAGUAACGCGUAAUAAACCUGCCCUUCAGAGGGGGACAACAGUUGGAAACGACGGCUAAUACCGCAUACGGAAGGAGGGGAUUGCGUCUGAUUAGCUAGUUGGAGGGGUAACGGCCCACCAAGGCGAUGUACAGUAGCCGGUCUGAGACGAUGAACGUCCACAGUGGGACUGAGACACGGCCCAGCCUCCUACGGGAGGCAGCCGUGGGGAUUCUUCCGCAAUGGGCGAAAGUCUGACGGAGCCACGCCGCGUGAGUGGUGACGGCCUUCGGGUUGUAAAACUCUGUUAAUCGGGACGCGGUACCGGAAUAGAAAGCCACGGCUAACUACGUGCCAGCAGCCGCGGUAAUAC